rnacentral:rRNA from 1 species
UACGUAGGUGGCAAGCGUUGUCCGGAUUUAUUGGGUUUAAAGGGUGCGUAGGCGGCUUAAUAAGUCAGUGGUGAAAGCCGAUCGCUUAACGAUCGAACUGCCAUUGAUACUGCUAGGCUUGAGUAUAGAUGAGGUAGGCGGAAUUGACAGUGUAGCGGUGAAAUGCAUAGAUAUUGUCAAGAACACCAAUUGCGAAGGCAGCUUACUAAGUUAUAACUGACGCUGAGGCACGAAAGUGCCGGGGAUCAAACAGG